rnacentral:rRNA from 1 species
UACGUAGGGUGCGAGCGUUAAUCGGAAUUACUGGGCGUAAAGCGUGCGCAGGCGGUUCGUUGUGUCGGUGGUGAAAGCCCCGGGCUUAACCUGGGAACUGCAAUGGAAACUGGCGGGCUUGAGUGUGGCAGAGGGGGGUGGAAUUCCGCGUGUAGCAGUGAAAUGCGUAGAGAUGCGGAGGAACACCGAUGGCGAAGGCAGCCCCCUGGGCCAACGCUGACGCUCAGGCACGAAAGCGUGGGGAGCAAACAGG